UUUGAUGGGUUGACUUGGUUUUGAAUUCACAGGUUGAACCUCUUGAGUUGCUCGCGCAGCCGCAAGACGCUCUAUGGUGGAAUUCCUGAGGACUGGCUUGUUUGACUUUGGAGUCUCCUGAGAUUGGGACCGGAGAAAAUACUGGAGUCUUCAUUUGGAGGCCAGCUUUUAUUUCCCUGGUAAUAUGAAGGGGGAACCUGCAUUCCAGGGUAGAGGUAACUGGGAAACGGAUGCAUCUGUGGGAAGAAAGGACCUUGAAAAUUUUGCAUAUACUGUGAAAUGUGAUUGUGCCAUGGCAUUGGAACUUGCCCCAUUCCAUCCGGGAAUGGCAUUGGUGCUGUCGUCGGCAACCUAGUAUCUGCACCAAACAUUAAUCAGCAUUAGGAUGCAAAAUUUUUUUCCAAACAAAGAUCAAGAGAAAUGCAGAAUCCAUGAAACCGAGACUAUGACAAGUGAUCUGUUCUUAGAUUUUUUGGAGAUAUCUGCCAAGAAAGCACUAAGGUAUUAAACCUUGUGUGUGCACUUCCAUCCGUGUGUUGCAUGAAAGGGAGAAGGUGACCAGAAGAGGAGAAGUUGAACCACUAAAGAACAUGUUUGUCAUCAGAACAAGCUCAAAAGUUGCAAUCAUUUUCUUCAAGAUAUUCUAUGCAGCAAAAGCACAACAGCAGACAGUGAAAGAACAUGCAUGUCACUGACUCUUAAAUUUUUUUGACAAAUUUCUUGUGCAUCACAUGGCAGGUGAAACGUAUCAUGACAAGUGAAACAUCUGAAGUCGAAUAUCAUGUUUAUAUUCCCUAA